rnacentral:lncRNA from 1 species
UUUGUUUCAUGCUCUGGAGGUUGUUUUGUGGUCAAAUAUUAGUUAAAUACUGGUUCUUUAAAGGCACCCAUUCCACGGCCCAUAUAUUCAGAGCUGACUCAGGUGUAGAGCUGUCUGGUCAAUGCUAUGUCAUUUAGGUAAGCCUUGUGCUGGGGCAGAUCCUUGCUACCUUUAUUCUCCUUCCUAAUGUAUAGGAAGUCAGAAGAGCAUACAGCAACAAACUUAGAGCCUGUGAUUUGGGAGCAGAGUUCAAUUGAUUUGAAACUCCAGAGGGAACUCCACUCUAACAUGAUCAUUUCAAGAAUUGCUCGUUCCUGAAAAUUGUAUGCAUGCUGCUCAUUGACCAGAUGAUUCAAAUAUCAAGUCAAUGUCAAGUCAAUCAAGCCCUCUCACAGGGCUGGCCAUGCUGGAGUGUAUGCUCCUGAUUGUUUUCUGUAAUCUCAGUCAAGUGACUUCAGUUGUGCUACUAUUAAUAGGGGGCCCCAGGAGAAGCUGGGUAAAGAGUCCAGAAGAAUGGACUGCAGUGCCAGAGGUGUGGCCUAUUCCCAAUGUGGAGAGAGGAACAGCCCUCUGGUUAGCCAUCACAUUCCCACACAUCCAGGAAUUGCAAAGGUGGCCAGGUCUUAAG